AUAUAGUACCAUAAAAAGUCGAUACAUGCAGUUAAGAUAAGAAGGGCAUGGAAUCACCUAGACAUGAAUGUAGUCGUGUAGCGGACAUUUGAAUCAUUUCAAGACAUAAUAAUUGUGACUGACCGAUCAACUUCAUAAUAUGUCCGUAGAAUCAGUAGUUUCAAGACACACCGGUAAAUGAAUUGUCUUUCAACUUUAGUACCUAAAGGCGCUCCAACUGCCACAAUCUCC
rnacentral:lncRNA from 1 species